AUAAACAGAACUAAAAAAAACGUUAACCUACCAGCUAGCAAACUCGGAUUAUCUCAUCCCCGCGUUUUCUUGUGCCCACCAUUUCGAAAUUUUCGGUAUGCAUAGAUGUAUGCAAGAAGAACUCACAUCGUGAAAGAGUCGCUUUUGGGAACUUUUAAUUUAUAGAUUUUAAUGUGUAAUUUAAUACUACAGAUGUUUUUAAAUUAAUUUAAAAUGUACUUGCUAUAUUGAAAACAAGUAAAUUUUAUUCAAUUAAAGGUAAUUUGAAAAAACUGUUCAAUGAACUUUCGACAUACUGUUCUCUCUGCGCAUGUCUAUAUACGUUUUCCCGCUUUUUUGUGUCGUGGAGGUGGGGAUCUUUUUCACUAUCAAGGGUUUGCAACAGUACUGCGCGUUACGUAAAUUCGGUAUAACCCUGUCCAAGGAUCCUCAUUUUUGACUUAACGUGGUCGGAGCUGCUACCAGUGAAGGUUGUGAAAUGGUGGGCACACGACGCGGGGACGUCGAGAUAUCCGAUUUUUUGCUAGCUGCACUUCAGGAUCAUCUGGAGCACCAAGAAGAGGCC